AGGGGUGGAAAUCGGACGGAUCGGAUCGGAUUUAGGGGUUUUGGAAAAAUUCCGAUUUUUUCGGAAGUCUAAAUUGACUUCCGAUUCCGAUUCCGAAAAUUUCGGAAUUUAGAAACUCGUUCCGAUUCCGAAAAAAUCGGAAAUUUUGGAAUUUCGGAAAAAAUCGGAUAUAAUGUAAAUUUUGAAGUUUUUUUCGAAAAUCUGUAAGAAAUUCAAGAAAAAAUUAAGAUGUUAAAAAAUUGAAAGUUGCAAGGCAAACUUGCAGCCCAAAACAGAGAAAAACCGAUGAACAGAAAAUCGUAAACUAUGUUUCAACCAACAAAAGCACAGAAAAAUAUAGAAAAAAAUCAUAAACGAAGAAAUUGGAGAACAAAAUUUAGUUUCUAACGCCAACUUUCAUCUGAAGCCUCCAACUCCAUCAAAGCAUCUUCAAUUUCGAACCAGUGCUGUAAAAAAGUAGAAUUUAUUGUGAGGAAGAGUGAAGAGGCAAAGAAGAUGAAAAUGGGUUGAAAAAAGGUAUUAGGGUAGUUGAGCAAAGCGGCGCUGCAAAAGAGA
rnacentral:lncRNA from 1 species